UACGAAGGGGGCUAGCGUUGCUCGGAAUCACUGGGCGUAAAGCGCACGUAGGCGGAUCUUUAAGUCAGGGGUGAAAUCCUGGAGCUCAACUCCAGAACUGCCUUUGAUACUGGGGAUCUCGAGUCCGGGAGAGGUGAGUGGAACUCCGAGUGUAGAGGUGAAAUUCGUAGAUAUUCGGAAGAACACCAGUGGCGAAGGCGGCUCACUGGCCCGGUACUGACGCUGAGGCACGAAAGCGUGGGGAGCAAACAGG
rnacentral:rRNA from 1 species